rnacentral:rRNA from 1 species
UGAGAAAUGUCUGGGAAACUGCCCGAUGGAGGGGGAUAACUACUGGAAACGGUAGCUAAUACCGCAUAACGUCGCAAGACCAAAGUGGGGGACCUUCGGGCCUCACACCAUCGGAUGUGCCCAGAUGGGAUUAGCUAGUAGGUGGGGUAAUGGCUCACCUAGGCGACGAUCCCUAGCUGGUCUGAGAGGAUGACCAGCCACACUGGAACUGAGACACGGUCCAGACUCCUACGGGAGGCAGCAGUGGGGAAUAUUGCACAAUGGGCGCAAGCCUGAUGCAGCCAUGCCGCGUGUAUGAAGAAGGCCUUCGGGUUGUAAAGUACUUUCAGCGGGGAGGAAGGCGGUGGAGUUAAUAGCUUCACCGAUUGACGUUACCCGCAGAAGAAGCACCGGCUAACUCCGUGCCAGCAGCCGCGGUAAUACGGAGGGUGCAAGCGUUAAUCGGAAUUACUGGGCGUAAAGCGCACGCAGGCGGUCUGUCAAGUCGGAUGUGAAAUCCCCGGG